UGGAGAUAACAUCUCAUUCAUCUCUCUCUCUCUCUCUCUCUCUCUCUCUUUCCAAAUUUCCAAAUUUCCAAAUUUCUAGUUUCUUCCUAUUUUGUAGGUUUUAUAAUUGGUCCUUGCUGUUCUUGAAGUUCUGAACUACAUUUGUUUCCAGGAUCUAGACCUACGACUCUUUCCCAUUUCUCUCUUGUUUUCCUGUCUCUUUAUCUUUCUGUCAAUUUUCGUCCUUCUCACUGAACCGUUCUCUCUCUCUCUCUCUCUCUCUCUCUCCCCAAGAUUGAUGGCUGUUUGUUCUAGCAUGAAAGUUAAUUGCAAUGUUAUUUAGACGGCGUUCGAUCGAGUUAAAUUUUUCUUUGCUGUUCUUUGGUUGACAUCAAUAAAUUUUAUCGGAAAAUAUUUCAAAUCUGAAUCGUUUCUACAAGAAGACGUCAUUCAAGUGUGUACGAAGGUUGCCAAACUCUUAUUACAUCAGGGGCGGCCAGCAUUAUGAUUCAUAUUUGUUUGUAUACUAUGUAAAUGGCGGUCGAUCUUCUUGCUCCCCACUAGAGAUUGUUACCACUGUAGCAACAUAUGUGAUGAGCCUUUUCAAGUCUCUGGUUGCAAGGCUAUGGAAGAAUGAAGAGAAAAAGUUGCCAAGAUGCCUCAAUUCAGUUUAUAGUGCCAGUCUAUGUUGCUGGCAAUAGUAUGUAUACUUUUUUCUAUGACAAUAGAGAGGUUAAUUCCUGAAUCCUAAAAAAAUUAUACAUAACUAAUUAUAGAUGAUCCAAUCAGUGUUUCCCCAAGAAAAUCCAUUUGUUUUAUUAGUUAUUUUAUUUUAAUGAGACUGUAAAAGAGAUAAUAUUGGAUCCAA